CUAAAAAUUCUGAUAGUAAAAGUGUGGCUUUCAAAAAAUUGAAUGUAUAAAUAGAGUUCCAAGAAAAGUGUUAAAGUUCACAUGAUAUCGUGCAUAAAUUAUAGUGGAGUUUAUGAUGUGGUCUGAGUAAUUUUGAACUCUCAAAUGGAACGAAUCGAAAGACCAUUUUAUGAUGAAUAAAAAAGAAUGCAACUGAAAGGUCUCUCCAUUAACGAGCUCAUCUCGAAGCAAUCUACAUAUUGACGGGAUUAUGCACGCGAUAAAAAUGUGUUUAUUUUUUUCUAGAUUUACUAUUAACCCUUUUAUGGUGCAAUAGGUCUUUUUAGGUUAAACAUCGGCAGCAAAAAAUAAAACAAUGAAAGGAAGACAAACGAAAUCAGUGAUUCGAAUUUCCCUUGGGGCAUUGCUGACUUCUAAUGGCAUUGCUGUGGAUUUUGGGUCAUAUAUGUAAUUUUAUUUCAAUGACAUAUAAUAAUCGGAAGUUCAACGUAUCCACUGACAUUUUCAACACUUGCAAUUAGAAUAAACAGCUUGAAAUGGCUAUGAUUUAAAUAUAUAUUACUUAUACAUGUCAGUAUGCGAUCGAUGAUAAAAUGACGACAAAUUAAGUACAUUUUUUUAUAUUCCAAGUGAGGCUGCGCUAAGUGCAAGAAUUGUCGCUCAUGGCUUUGCAUCGAUAACAUUUGAAAUAUACGUUUUGUGUGAUUUUGAAAGUAAUGCCCGUUCUUGGAGCAAAAAAAAAAUAUCAUGAUAAAUGAUAAAACAGUCAUGAAUUAUAAUACCCGGCAACACUAUAAUUGCAACAACAGACACAAAAAUACAAUAAAACGAAGUCGGUG